rnacentral:rRNA from 1 species
GAUGAACGCUGGCGGCGUGCCUAAUACAUGCAAGUCGAGCGAACAGACGAGAAGCUUGCUUCUCUGAUGUUAGCGGCGGACGGGUGAGUAACACGUGGAUAACCUACCUAUAAGACUGGGAUAACUUCGGGAAACCGGAGCUAAUACCGGAUGAUAUUUUGAACCGCAUGGUUCAAAAGUGAAAGACGGUCUUGCUGUCACUUAUAGAUGGAUCCGCGCUGCAUUAGCUAGUUGGUAAGGUAACGGCUUACCAAGGCAACGAUGCAUAGCCGACCUGAGAGGGUGAUCGGCCACACUGGAACUGAGACACGGUCCAGACUCCUACGGGAGGCAGCAGUAGGGAAUCUUCCGCAAUGGGCGAAGGCCUGACGGAGCAACGCCGCGUGAGUGAUGAAGGUCUUCGGAUCGUAAAACUCUGUUAUUAGGGAAGAACAUAUGUGUAAGUAACUGUGCACAUCUUGACGGUACCUAAUCAGAAAGCCACGGCUAACUACGUG